ensembl:lncRNA
CCCUGUGAGCAUUUUUUGGUUGACAAGACGUUUAAAAGACGUCUAUGCCCAACGUUGAAAAGACGUUGCAAAAUGGUUUAAAAGUGAAAGUUGUUUCAACGUCUAUUCGUAGACGUUGAAAAGACGUCUAUGUUUAGACCACAUUUCAACGUGAUUUUUUAAUACGGUAAUAUUUCGUCCUCUCUUGUGUGCUAUAUCAUUAUUUUAGAGGUUUAAAAAGAAACUACGUCCACAUUUGUAAGUUUACCACCGAUAUUAUAAAUCACGUUGAAAACGGGUCUAUACGCGAACGUCUUUUCAACGUCUACGAAUAGACGUUGAAACAACUUUCACUUUUAAACCAUUUUGCAACGUGUUUUCAACGUCGGGCCAUAGACGUCUUUUAAACGUUGUUUCAACGGAUAAAUUGCUCGCUGGAAACUUACAUACUUAGUCACAGUUGUCAUGUUAACAGCCCUUAACAAGGACAAACACAUUAUUUUAUUAAUUUGCAUUUAUUAUAAAUAUAACAC